rnacentral:rRNA from 1 species
UACGAAGGGGGCUAGCGUUGCUCGGAAUCACUGGGCGUAAAGGGUGCGUAGGCGGGUUUUUAAGUCAGAGGUGAAAUCCUGGAGCUCAACUCCAGAACUGCCUUUGAUACUGAGAAUCUUGAGUACGGGAGAGGUGAGUGGAACUGCGAGUGUAGAGGUGAAAAUUCGUAGAUAUUCGCAAGAACACCAGUGGCGAAGGCGGCUCACUGGCCCGGUACUGACGCUGAGGUGCGAAA